rnacentral:rRNA from 1 species
AUUGAACGCUGGCGGCAGGCCUAACACAUGCAAGUCGAGCGGAGCGGCGGACGGGUGAGUAAUGCCUAGGUAUCUGCCUGGUAGUGGGGGAUAACUUCCGGAAACGGGCGCUAAUACAGCAUACUAUCAGACGAGUAUAGGUCGGAUUUGCUGGUUGGUGGGGUAAAGGCCUACAAAGGCGACGAGCCGUCACUGGUCUGAGAGGAUGAUCAGUCACACGGGAACUAGGACACGAUCCAGACUCCUACGUGAGGCAGCAGUGGGUAAUUGUGGACAAUUGGCGAUAGCCUGAACCAGGCAUGACGCGUGGGUGAAGAAGGUCUUCGGAUUGUAAAGCACUUUAAGUUGGGAGGCGUUACCAACAGAAUAAGCACCGGCUAACUUCGUGCCAGCAGCCGCGGUAAUAC